rnacentral:ncRNA from 1 species
GAAGGUAGGUCCUUCGGGUUCGGCGAUCAGGUCGCUGAUCCCAAGCCACCGCAGGCCGCUUUGGUCAAAAGCCACGGUGGUGAGCGCUGCGGAAACGCUGGGACGGUGAUCCCGGCAGGU